rnacentral:rRNA from 1 species
AUUGAACGCUGGCGGCAUGCCUAACACAUGCAAGUCGAGCGGACGGACGGAGCUGGCUCCAGGAUCCGGCGGCGGCGGGGGGAGUAAUGCCAACGCAUCGGCCUCCUAGCGGGAAGUAACGUCCGAAUACGGGCGAUCAUACCGCAUACCUCCUGAGGGCGAGCUUCGCAGAUCUUCAGACUGCACGCCAUCACAGGAGCCUACAUCUGAUUAACCAGUUGGUGAGUUACAGGCCUACCAAGGCGACGAUCCCUAACCGGGCUGAGAGGGUGAUCGGUCACACUGGGACUGAGACACGGUCCAGACUCCUACGGGAGGCAGCAGUGGGGAAUAUUCCACAAUGGGCGAAAGUCUGACCGAGCAAUGCCGCGUGAGUGAAGAAGGUCUUCGGAUUGUAAAACUCUUUUGGUUGGGAGGAAGGACAGCAAUAGUAACCGAUGCUGCCUUGACGGUACCAUAAGAGUAAGCAACGGCUAACUUCGUG